UUCUUCCUGUUUUUUGAUUUGAAGUAUGACCUGCCCGCUGAUGGGAUUGAAGGGCCGCGGUAUCCUGACCGUGCAAAGGUAGCAUAAUCAUUAGUUUUUUAAUUGUGAGCUGGUAUGAAUGGUUUGACGAGGUAUUGACUGUCUUUGCCUUGGGUGCAUUGAACUUGUUGUUUGGGUAAAAAUACCUAAAUUUUUUUAUGGGACGAGAAGACCCUAUAGAGUUUUAUAUAAUGUGCUCUUUUUUGUUUGUUUGUUUUAGUGGGUUGUAUUGUAUUUUGUUGGGGUGAUGAGAAGGUAAGUGUAACCCUUCUUUUUUAAUUUCACUUAUUCGUGUUUUUGUGAUCCUUUAUUAUUGAUUGCAAGAUUAAUUUACCUUA
rnacentral:rRNA from 1 species